rnacentral:rRNA from 1 species
UGACCUCAAAUCAGGAG